rnacentral:tRNA from 1 species
GAACGGAUAUUGAAAUCAUUGGAAACCCGCUCGACUGUUAAUCGAGUGGCCGUAGGUUCGAAUCCUACUCAGGGAGCCA